CUAGUUAAUUUAUAGAUCAAAAUCAUUAUAUGUUUUUUCCUUCUUACCGUUUCAUAUCCAGUAUCAUCGUUUGCGUGUAUAGUGUGAUUAGUUUACUAAUAAUGGAAUCGAACAAAUCAAUUAGGGAAGAUAGAUCACAUUUCACAUUUCAGAAAACAUUACUUAUUGUCCUGAUUUCUACAACUGUCGUUUUACUGAUACCCCUAUUUUCACUUGCCUAUUACUGGCGACAAUUAAGAACGAAUAUAAUGGCUCCAAGAGAAUCCAACAUGUGCCUCCCUUUGGAAAAACUUAUCAAAGAAUCUGGUGAAUAUGAUAGUCACCAGUGUCCAGACGGACUUAAGGAAAGGUCAACGAAACAGAAGAAACAAAAUUAUGUUGUGGAUCUAUGAUCAUUAUCCUUAAUAAAGUUUCCACCAAGAUUGUUAAAGACAAGUAUGAUGACGAUGCUUUUCCUGAAAUUGCACCAUGAAACAUCACGGCAUUUAGCUGUUUCAAAAAGAAAACUGUAUCGUUGGAAACACAUCUUGUAGGUAUUUCAGGUGAUAAUCAACAAGAUCAAAUGAACGCUUCUUCAAGGCUGUUUUGGAAUAACACCUACCCAUCGUUUUCUUGCCCUAGGCUAAGAUAUCUGACAGACGAUGGAACAAUACACGUAGAAACGAGUUGGUAUUUCUACAUUUCAUCACAACUCAAGUCAAAACACAACAGUAUAAAUGGCACAGCAGGUGUUUCGGGCGCCAACUUUAAACAUUUUAUUUACAGAAUAUCAAAAGAUAGAAAAGAGCAAGUUCUGUUAGGAGGAGAAAAAUCGUUUUGUACAGUUGCUUCAGACAGUUUUGAAUGUACAAGUUUUAUUGGUGCUGUUUUCAAACUUGAGACCGGAGACCAGCUAUAUGUAUCAACCUCUCAUCCAGGCAGUCUUGUUCCCGAGUCUCAAGAUAAUUAUUUUAGCAUUUAUAGUGUGUAAUGUGCACAUAUGUUUCCAUAGAUAAAAAUUAAGCUAAAGAAACAAUAGACAUGUAUGUUGUUUUGAGUAUUUUCAGUCUUUUUAAUUUUCUUCGUCAUUUAUAUUAAAAUAAAAUUAUAGGACGAAUUUAAGUAUUUUUUAGAAGAAUUCACCCAGUCCACUAUGGCUGAUAUUUGGACUAGCGGGCAACAAGGAUAGGGACAUACAUGAAAACAAAGGAAUCACUUAAAGCUGGACUAUACCUGAGACCGUAAAUCAAUUAAUAUUGCUUGUGUAGUUAAGAACUACGCUCGUACUACAUGUCGAAAGGGUUUCUUAGCAAUCAUCGACCUUCAGGAUUAAUUAAGCAGACGUAGUAAAAACG